rfam:Globodera pallida, Lindley, WGS project CBXT01000000 data, contig: pathogens_Gpal_scaffold_5213_contig_1
AAAAAGGUUUUUUUUAAAACCCCCGUUUUUUUUUAAAGGGGUUUAA